UACGGAGGGUGCAAGCGUUAUCCGGAUUUAUUGGGUUUAAAGGGUGCGCAGGCGGGACCUUAAGUCAGUGAUGAAAUCCCUUCGCUUAACGAAGGAACUGCCAUUGAUACUGAGGUUCUUGAAUCUAGUUGACGUUAGUGGAAUGUGUCAUGUAGCGGUGAAAUGCUUAGAUAUGACACAGAACACCGAUCGCGAAGGCAGCUAACGAAGCUAGUAUUGACGCUCAGGCACGACAGCAUGGGGAGCAAACAGG
rnacentral:rRNA from 1 species